CCUAGCGCCUUCUCUAGGGGCUUUGGAGGCUACCCCUGCUCAGUUUCUUCGAAAGGCAACGGUGAUGAUCCUACUACAGACCUGUAAUGAUUUAUGCGGAAAUGAUCGCAGAAUCAAAGAACAUCUAAGGGGCUGAGUUGUCUUAUUAUUACCACUACAAGUAGAAAAUAUUUAAAAAAAAUGUAAAUGAUUAGUGUAGCGAUGAUGAUCCUACUACAGACCUGUAAUGAUUCUGCGGAAAUGAUCGCAAAAUCAAGAACAUCUAAGGGACUGAGUUUUACCUUAAACUUUGUACUCUAGAUUUUUUUAAAUUUUUUUAAUCGUUGUUUAUGUUAGAGAUUUGGAAAUGUAUAUGCUUCAUAAAAAAGGAAAUCAAAGGCCUGUGAAUCUGGAAAUGAAUUGGUCUAAGAAUGAAGUGAAGCAAAAAAAAAAACGCUUCCCUCGCUAUCCAGUGCAGUCGUUAUUGCAUUUGGACGUUGGGAAGCUACAAAGUUUAACCACGUCGCCAUUCUCUGAAGUUGUAGUAUUUAUGCAGGAAAUAUAAUGGCUUGUGAAUUUAUUUUUGGUGGGUAUUUCUGUUUGAAUAUUAAAUAUGGAUUUGGAGUGUUUAGGUGGAAAUGAUGCUUGAAAACAAUUGAUGAGUGAAAAAUAUUGUAGAGGCUUGUAUAGAAAAUCAUAACAUAAGGGAAGGGGGAGGAAGACGGUUGAUUAGCAAGUCUUUUGAUACAAAAAUUUCAAAACCACCCUAUUUGAACAUUUAAUUUAAGAAAAACGAUUUGUUUUAGACCUUAAUUUAAAAAACCGACUUGGUUUCUAAAAAUUCAAAAAUUCACGGGAGUUGGAACUCUCGUAAAGUUGUAUUUGUUGAACAGACAUCACGGCAGUUAAGUUGAACUUGUGUGGGGUUUCAGUCUAAUUUUUAGAGAAACUCUCAAAAAAGUUGACUUCAACUCCACGGGAGUUCAACUCCCAUGGAGUUAGACCAUGUGUAGCAGGGGUUAUUUGAAGAGUUAUUUGGUUGCAGUAUGGGUUUUUUGAAAAGGUGAAUCAAAAAGACAAGGCCAAGGGGUGAAAAAUUCACCUCGGGUAUUUCUGACAAGGCCACGCGCGUGACAGGUCUCGCAGCUUGCCAGCUGUCGUGUGGCAAAUUUUGAUUGGGCGGGAUUUUUUUUAUACAAUGGGCGGGAUUUUUUUUUAUACAAUUAAUUUUUAUUUUUCAAUCUCUAUAAAUAGAGACUAACUUUGUGUCAUUUGGACACCAACCUUGCGUAGCGGUUGGUCCGAUGAAAACUACAUAUCCAAGGCAAGAGAGUUGUACUUUGAGAAAAUGGGUACGACGUUUAAUUUGGUGGAUGAGUGGAAGAUGGUUCGUAAUCAGCCUAAAUAUAUGACAGGAGAAAAUGCAUCUGGUAGUAGUGGCUUUAAAAGAAAGAUUAGUGGUGAGGAUGUUGAAUCAUCAACUCCUACCCUUGUACGUCCAGAGGGUAGGGAAGGACGUGGCAAAGAAGAAAGCUAGAGCUUCCUCUAGUAAAACAUCUAUGUCAAGGAAAUCAAAGGGGGCAAUUGAGGAGUUAUCUAAGCUAGUCAGUGCUCAUGAAAAAUUUAAAGAGAAAAGAUCAAGUACUGCUUCAGCUAUGAAUAACCUGGCUCAUUCCAAGAAUAUGGAGAUGUGGUUAUUCUUGAAAAACAAACCAGAUCGUGACGAUGAAGAUGAAGAAGCUUAUAAUAUGUUGAGGAAGAACCUGUUUGGAAAAUAAGACCUUCUCAAAAAGUUAUGAUUGUGUGCUUUUUUCUGAUGUUUUUGUGUGCCGUUUGUUUAAUUUUGGAGUUGUGUGGGUGUCUAUGUUUGUUGAAUGUAUUAGUAAAAGUGUUGUUUAUGUUUGAAUAAAAUUGUUGUUUAUGUUUCAAUAAAGCCGAUUGAUAUUGACUUCUCA